rnacentral:lncRNA from 1 species
CGGCCGCGCAGCCUUUGUCUCGGGGCCGCGGGGCGGCGGGGCCCGGCGCAGGCGUAAGUGACCGGUGGCCGGGCCGCCGGGGGCUCGGCGGGGAGCGGGCCGGGGGGCGCGGGCGCUCCGGGCGCGGGUGUCGGGCCAGACGGGCGGUGCGGGCGCGCGGGCGGGGAGCCGGGGCCGGUGCGCGCCCCGCGAGGCGGUGCGGGCGGCGGAGCGCGGCGCGCGGGGGGCGCGGGGGGCGCGGGGCUCGGGGCGCCGCAGCCUUGUGCCCGAGGCCGUGCGGCGUGGGUGCAAAUCCUGGCGGCUGUGUUUCUCCGGGCAGAGGCCACGCGGGGACGGAGGAGGCAGAGAGGACAGGCAGUGAUGGAGAAACGGGAGAGGAGCCGGCCAGCGUCACCAUCACCAUCACCGCCACCAUCGCCUCCACCAUCACCAUCACCAUCACCACCAUCACCAUCCCCAUCCCUGCCCGUCGCCCAUCCCAGCUGCCCCGGACCUCCCCUCCCUUCUCAUCUCCCCCCUGUCACGUCAACUUUACCAGAUUAUUUCCUUUUCCUGGGUGAUACUUUGAAACGGCGACAGUGUGCUCCAAAUUAGGAAUAAGUACCUCUGCUGUGGGACAUUCGGGCGCCUCUCCUUUGCCCGUUCGCGACCUCAGUUUUCCCAUCAGGAAAAGGACCACAGGGGUGCUCCGUUCCUCACAGUCAGCCUGUGAUGGCCGGCAAGCUUUCGGUUUUUCUAAUCUGGUGCCGGAAAGGGUUUUAGA